rnacentral:rRNA from 1 species
UACGUAGGUGGCAAGCGUUGUCCGGAAUUAUUGGGCGUAAAGCGCGCGCAGGCGGUCUUUUAAGUCUGAUGUGAAAGCCCACGGCUCAACCGUGGAAGGUCAUUGGAAACUGGAAGACUUGAGUGCAGAAGAGAAGAGCGGAAUUCCACGUGUAGCGGUGAAAUGCGUUGAGAUGUGGAGGAACACCAGUGGCGAAGGCGGCUCUUUGGUCUGUAACUGACGCUGAGGCGCGAAAGCGUGGGGAGCAAACAGG